rnacentral:rRNA from 1 species
UGCCUUGGGANGGAACCCCCCGGGUANCUGGGGCUAAUUUCCGAUAGGUGAAGGCUCCUGGAAUGGAUCUUCGCCUAAAGGGCGCUUAGGCCAUGCUUCUAGGCGCUGCCCAAGGAUGGGGCCGCGGCCGAUCAGGUUGUUGGUGAGGUAAUGGCUCACCAAGCCUUUAACCGGUUCGGGCCGUGGGAGCGGGAGCCCGGAGAUGGGCACUGAGACAAGGGCCCAGGCCCUACGGGGCGCAGCAGUCGCGAAAACUCCGCAAUACGCGAAGGCGUGACGGGGCUAUCCCGAGUGCCGUCCGCUGAGGAUGGCUUUUCCCCAGUGUAGAUAGCUGGGGGAAUAAGGAGAGGGCAAGUCUGGUGUCAGCCGCCGCGGUAAUACCAGCUCUCCGAGUGGUGGGGACGUUUAUUGGGCCUGAAGCAUCCGUAGCCAGCUGAGCAAGUCCCCAGUUAAAUCCAGCGAUUUAAUCGUUGGACUGCUGGGGAUACUGUCCGGCUAGGGGGUGGGAGAGGCCGACGGUAUUCCCGGGGUAGGGGUGAAAUCCUAUAAUCCCGGGAGGACCACCAGUGGCGAANGCUGUUGGCUAGAACAUGCCCGACGGUGANGGAUGAAAGCUGGGGGAGCGAAACCGGAUUAGAUACCCGGGUAGUCCCAGCUGUAACGAUGCAGGCUAGGUGUUAGGGCGGCCACGUGCCGCUCUANUGCCNCAGGAAACU